rnacentral:rRNA from 1 species
UAGUUCGGGGCGGUUUCCCCCGUUCCGGGGGGACGAGGGUGACAGGUGGUGCAUGGUUGUCGUCAGCUCGUGUCGUGAGAUGUUGGGUUAAGUCCCGCAACGAGCGCAACCCUCGACCUUAGUUGCCAGCAUUCAGUUGGGCACUCUAAGGUGACUGCCGGCUAAAAGUCGGAGGAAGGUGGGGAUGGCGUCAAAUCAUCAUGCCCCUUAUGACCUGGGCUACACACGUGCUACAAUGGGCGGUACAAAGGGUCGCGAACCCGCGAGGGGGAGCCAAUCCCAAAAAAGCCGCUCUCAGUUCGGAUUGCAGGCUGCAACUCGCCUGCAUGAAGCCGGAAUCGCUAGUAAUCGCGGAUCAGCAUGCCGCGGUGAAUACGUUCCCGGGCCUU